CUCGGUGUAAUGAUGACGUCACGCACAGCCAGUAGAAACAUGGCGACGAAGGGUCUCCGUCAGCGCAACAGACGGGGAAGCAAACAAGAUGCCAACAACGUGAACAACACACCUACCGCUGACAGCCGAGCAACAAAAGACGACAAAUGUGUUGAGGACAAUAAGUCUAGUGACCCCCGAAAUGACUUGCUCCCAGAUAAGCACAUUAGCUCCUAUACCCCGCCUUUCCAUUACAGGUCAUCCGGUAAGGCAGGACAGGUGUGGGCUCCUGAGGGCUCCACAGCCUUCAAGUGCCUGGUUUCAGCCCGCUUCUGUGCUGCGCUGCUCAGUAACAUCUCCGACUGUGAUGAAACCUACAAUUACUGGGAGCCAACUCACUACCUGCUAUAUGGGACAGGGAUGCAGACAUGGGAAUAUUCCCCAGCCUACGCGAUUCGUUCCUAUGCGUAUCUUUGGCUCCAUGCCCUUCCUGCCUGCUUUCAUGCCAAAAUAUUACAAACCAACAAGGUCCUUGUGUUUUAUUUCCUGCGCUGCAUGUUAGCAUUUACCUGUUGUGUGUGUGAGCUCUACUUCUACAAGGCCGUGUGUAAGAAGUUUGGUCUGCACGUGGGGCGGCUUCUGCUGGCAUUCCUCGUCCUGAGUGCAGGGAUGUUCUGCUCCUCCGCAGCUUUCCUCCCCAGUACGUUUUGUAUGUACAGUACAGUGGUAGCUAUGACUGGCUGGUUCCAGGGGCGCCCGAGUCUGGCUGUGCUGGGUAUUGCAGCGGGGGCCAUAGUGGGCUGGCCCUUCAGUGCCCUGCUGGGCAUACCCAUUGCCUUUGACCUGCUGUUGCUGAAGAAGAAAUGGAAGAGUUUUAUCAUGUGGACUCUGGUGGCGUUGCUGCUCUUUCUGGUCCCUGUUGUUGUAGUAGACAGCUACUAUUAUGGCAAGCUGGUGAUUGCUCCUCUGAACAUAAUACUAUACAAUGUGUUCACUCCUCAUGGGCCAGAUCUCUAUGGCACAGAGCCCUGGCAUUACUACUUUGUGAAUGGUUUUCUUAAUUUCAACAUUGUGUUUGUGUUGGCCCUGUUUUCUCUUCCUCUCACGGCGCUUAUGGAGGCACUGCUUCAAAGAUUUAAUGUUCACAACCUGGGCAGGCCGUACUGGUUAACACUGUCUCCUAUGUACCUAUGGAUGCUGGUGUUCUUCACUCGACCACAUAAAGAGGAACGCUUUCUGUUUCCCAUCUACCCUCUCAUCUGUCUGUGUGGGGCGGUGGCACUAUCCUCGCUGCAGAAGUGCUAUCACUUCAUAUUCCAGCGCUAUCGUCUGGAGCACUACACCAUCUCCUCCAACUGGCUGGCUCUCGGCUCUGUGCUGCUGUUUGGAGUGCUCUCACUGUCCCGAUCUGUGGCCCUCUUCAGAGGCUAUCAUGCUCCGCUGGAUUUGUAUCCGGAGUUUCAUCGCAUUGCUAAAGAUCCUGCGAUCCACACAGUUCCAGAGGGAAGGCUAGUCAAUGUUUGUGUGGGGAAAGAGUGGUACCGCUUCCCCAGCAGUUUUCUCCUGCCCAACAACUGGCACUUACAGUUCAUCCAGUCAGAGUUCAGGGGUCAGCUACCUAAGCCAUAUGCCAUGGGUCCUGAUGCCACCUGGAUACUUCCAUCAGACAUGAAUGAUCAGAAUCUUGAGGAGACAUCACGAUAUGUAGAACUGAAGCAGUGUCAUUACCUGGUGGAUCUGGCAACAGAAACAGAAGCCCCUCGUGAACCACGAUACGCCACUAACAAAGAGGAGUGGAGCAUUAUCGCUGACAAGCCUUUUCUAGACACUACCAGGUCCUCCAGAUUCCUCAGGGCCUUUUUUAUCCCGUUUCUGUCUGAGCAAUACACCACCUACAGCAGAUAUGUCAUCCUGAAACCGAAACGACCCAAACACACCCGGAAAAGAACGCAAGCCUGACCUGCCUUUCCUGCUAUUUUUUCAUAAUCGCACCCCUCCAUAAGUCCUGUCUCUUGCAGUGCUUCAUCGUUCGGUCCCAAGAUGCUCCUCUGCAACUCUUUCUGGCACACAUGUGGGAUUGUUUUUGAGUGUGAGUGUAAAUGAACGAAUGAAUGCCGGAGUUUGUUUGAGCAACUUUGCUAUCAAGCCAUGCAGUGUCGGCCUGUAUGUAGACAUCAGCGUUGCCGCCCAUCCUGUUGACAGUUCCAGCACAGAGCAUGGAUGCCUUACCCAUCUUCCCCAUCAUCUCCAAUCCAUUCCAUGCCUUCUGUUCAUUUAUUCCUGCUUGGGCUUCUCUGCAUCUUACUGAAGUGUUUCAGAAGAUUUCUGUUUAGAUGACCCUUUAAGGACUAUAUGGUCCCUCAUUUGUCAUGACCUCAUCCUUGAUCUGGGACAAUGAACUGUACUCCAUGAAUGCAGACACAAACCAGAUCUCAUGUGUCAUCAUCCAGAGAUACGAACUUCUGUUCAUUUGUCCUGUUUGAGCAACUGGCCCAGGUCAGCCUCGGCAUCUCAGGAUGAAAGUUGCACCAAAAACUGAAGUUUUCCUUCAGUUCCAUCGUCUGUCAAAGUGGACAUUGACUGUGAGGUCAGACUGCAGACCAGAACAACUGAGUGUUUACAUUCCAAAUCAUGUUUGUCAUCUGAAUCAUAUCAGUGUUAACUGUGAUUGAGUCAAAUAAAAGAAGGCUGUCUUAA